GUACUGCUGAAGAAUCCCAAACUAGGAUGAAACAGCUGUCUAGUAC
rfam:Trichobilharzia regenti genome assembly, scaffold: TRE_scaffold0002267